AACAGUGUUUGUGCCAGGAACUACGAC
rnacentral:piRNA from 1 species